UCUUGAGAGCGGCGUACGGGUGCGGAACACGUGUGCACUGCCUUUAUCUGGGGGAUAGCCUUUCGAAAGGAAGAUAAUACCCCAUAAUAUGUUGAAUGGCAUCAUUCGACAUUGAAAACUCCGGUGGAUAGAGAUGGGCACGCGCAAGAUUAGAUAGUUGGUGAGGUAACGGCUCACCAAGUCUACGAUCUUUAGGGGGCCUGAGAGGGUGAUCCCCCACACUGGUACUGAGACACGGACCAGACUCCUACGGGAGGCAGCAGUGAGGAAUAUUGGACAAUGGGUGAGAGCCUGAUCCAGCCAUCCCGCGUGAAGGACGACUGCCCUAUGGGUUGUAAACUUCUUUUGUAUAGGGAUAAACCUACCCUCGUGAGGGUAGCUGAAGGUACUAUACGAAUAAGCACCGGCUAACUCCGUGCCAGCAGCCGCGGUAAUACGGAGGGUGCAAGCGUUACCCGGAUUUAUUGGGUUUAAAGGGUCCGUAGGCGGAUCUGUAAGUCAGUGGUGAAAUCUCACAGUUAAUUGUGAAAUUGCCAUUGAUACUGCAGGUCUUGAUGUGUGAAGUAUUGGAAUAAGUAUGUAGUGGAAAUGGCUAGAUUU
rnacentral:rRNA from 1 species